UACGUAGGGGGCAAGCGUUGUCCGGAAUCAUUGGGCGUAAAGCGCGUGUAGGCGGCUUGGUAAGUCCGUUCUGAAAGCCCACGGCUCAACCGUGGAGGGUCAUUGGAAACUGGGGGACUUGAGUACAGAAGAGAAGAGUGGAAUUCCACGUGUAGCGGUGAAAUGCGUAGAGAUGUGGAGGAACACCAGUGGCGAAGGCGACUCUUUGGUCUGUAACUGACGCUGAGGCGCGAAAGCGUGGGGAGCAAACAGG
rnacentral:rRNA from 1 species